rnacentral:rRNA from 1 species
CCUACGGGAGGCUGCAGUGAGGAAUAUUGGUCAAUGGUCGGAAGACUGAACCAGCCAUGCCGCGUGCAGGAAGACGGUCCUAUGGAUUGUAAACUGCUUUUGUACGGGAAGAAACACUCCUUCGUGAAGGAGCUUGACGGUACCGUAAGAAUAAGGAUCGGCUAACUCCGUGCCAGCAGCCGCGGUAAUACGGAGGAUCCAAGCGUUAUCCGGAAUCAUUGGGUUUAAAGGGUCCGUAGGCGGUUAGAUAGAAAUCCGGCAGCUUAACUGUCGAACUGCCAUUGAUACUGUUUGACUUGAAUUACUGUGAAGUAACUAGAAUAUGUAGUGUAGCGGUGAAAUGCUUAGAUAUUACAUGGAAUACCAAUUGCGAAGGCAGGUUACUAAUGGUUUAUUGACGCUGAUGGACGAAAGCGUGGGGAGCGAACAGGAUUAGAUACCCCUGUAGUC